GCAGGGUGCGGUGGCGUGUGCCUGUAGUCCCAGCUACUCGGGAGGCUGAGGUGGGAGGAUCGCUUGAGCCGAGGAGUUCUGGGCUGCAGUGCGCUAUGCCAAUCGGGUGUCGGCACUUAGUUGGGCAUCAAUAUGGUGACCUCCCGGGAGCGGGAGACCAACAGGUUGCCUAUGGAGGGGUGAACUGGCCCAGGUCAGAAAUGGAGAAGGUCAAAAUUCCCAUGCUGAUCAGUAGUGGGAUCGCGCCUGUGAUUAGCCACUGCACUCCAGCCUGGGCAACAUAGGAGACCCCGUCUAU
rnacentral:SRP_RNA from 1 species